GUAAAGUACUUUCAGUCGUGAGGAAGGUGGUGUUGUUAAUAGCAGCAUCAUUUGACGUUAGCGACAGAAGAAGCACCGGCUAACUCCGUGCCAGCAGCCGCGGUAAUACGGAGGGUGCGAGCGUUAAUCGGAAUUACUGGGCGUAAAGCGCAUGCAGGUGGUGGAUUAAGUCAGAUGUGAAAGCCCGGGGCUCAACCUCGGAACCACAUUUGAAACUGGUUCACUAGAGUACUGUAGAGGGGGGUAGAAUUUCAGGUGUAGCGGUGAAAUGCGUAGAGAUCUGAAGGAAUACCGGUGGCGAAGGCGGCCCCCUGGACAGAUACUGACACUCAGAUGCGAAAGCGUGGGGAGCAAACAGGAUUAGAUACCCUGGUAGUCCACGCCGUAAACGAUGUCUACUUGGAGGUUGUGGCCUUAAGCCGUGGCUUUCGGAGCUAACGCGUUAAGUAGACCGCCUGGGGAGUACGGUCGCAAGAUUAAAACUCAAAUGAAUUGACGGGGGCCCGCACAAGCGGUGGAGCAUGUGGUUUAAUUCGAUGCAACGCGAAGAACCUUACCUACUCUUGACAUCCAGAGAAGCCAGCGGAGACGCAGGUGUGCCUUCGGGAGCUCUGAGACAGGUGCUGCAUGGCUGUCGUCAGCUCGUGUUGUGAAAUGUUGGGUUAAGUCCCGCAACGAGCGCAACCCUUAUCCUUGUUUGCCAGCGAGUCAUGUCGGGAACUCCAGGGAGACUGCCGGUGAUAAACCGGAGGAAGGUGGGGACGACGUCAAGUCAUCAUGGCCCUUACGAGUAGGGCUACACACGUGCUACAAUGGCGCAUACAGAGGGCAGCAAGCUAGCGAUAGUGAGCGAAUCCCAAAAAGUGCGUCGUAGUCCGGAUUGGAGUCUGCAACUCGACUCCAUGAAGUCGGAAUCGCUAGUAAUCGUAGAUCAGAAUGCUACGGUGAAUACGUUCCCGGGCCUUGUACACACCGCCCGUCACACCAUGGGAGUGGGCUGCAAAAGAAGUGGGUAGUUUAACCUUUCGAGGAGGACGCUCACCACUUUGUGGUUCAUGACUGGGGUGAAGUCGUAACAAGGUAACC
rnacentral:rRNA from 1 species